GGGAUGGUUUCCGUGGCGACGCCACCUCGAUUUUCAUGAGCUGCUCGCAGCAGUGCAGCCACUGACCUGCAGAGGACAACAACUUGACUCUUCCAACAAAUGGACAUGGACACACUCAACAAAAUGAUCCCACCCACAGUCAAACUGAAGUUUGACGAAGUGCUACUCAAAGAACUACAAACAUGGCGGGAGCACUACGGGAGCCCGUCAGGACAUAAUGGCACGCAUCAGCAGUAGCAGUAGAAGGCUUACGCUUCCCUCCAACUUGAAAAACAAACCUCGCCCGAACAGCCGAGGUGCUGAUGCAGCGCUUCCUGCCACUGGUCCAGUUGCUCGCUGGUGUCUGCUGUGAAGACUUGAGUCUGGUUUUCCUCUGGCCAAGGGUUGAUGAUGGACAGACUGCGAAACUUCUUCCCUCCCAAC